UCGGUGCACUGAGCCCACCAACAUCACAGGUAGUUUAGCUCAAUAAGAGGCAUAGACUAUGCUCCUGUAGGAGAUGGGAACAGGACCAUUAUGCUGCCACUAGUCCCAUCUGUGUCUUUCAUCUAUUGUGUUUCAUGUCCUCUAUUUUUCUCAGAUUCUAUCAAUAAGACGCUUGAUUUGAAUUAGUGAGAAAAUGAGUGGCUACUGCCUGUAACAUGUUUUAAAAAGCUGUUUUAUCUUUCAAAAAUCAAAAUGAUUUUUACUUUCCCUUCAAAGCGAAAAAGAGGGACAACCCUGCAAAGUGUCACGCACAAAGGGAGACAUUUGCAUGCGUGCUCUGACACGAGGUAUUUUUCUAGUGUCAACAAAUGGGAAGCUUUAUUUUAAAAGUUGCCAGAUUCUGCCCAAGCUUCAUUAUUCCAUUCUGCUCCACUACAAAAGGAAAAGAACAGAUUCUCUCUUCUUUAUCAUCUAGGACUCCUGGGGGAAGACUGAGGCACCUCGUCUGGCUUUGAGGUAAAUGUGUGACUUUCAUUAACGGGUGGGCUUGGCACUGAAAGAACAGACCCCCAUGUUUGUAAAUGCUUGAGCGAUGAUUCACACAAGCUGCAAAAAAACAACAACACCCUUUUUGUUUUAUGCCCACUGUUGCAGUACUCAGAUUACGAAUCACAGUAGGCUGUCCUUUUAAGACAGUUCAUCCAUCCACAGUCAAUUGAGAAUGCCUGUGCAGAAAAAGAUGUCACGGCAAAGCAAUGCACUGUGCCAGGCAUGGUUCAUCACUCCAACAUGAAGGGAGAAGGCUUUCAGGCAACAUUCUUGUUAGACCAUUUUAGAAAGAAAGACUAAGCUGAUCAAAAAACUGCUUGGGGUGCCAUCUUUCCUCUGGGAGGUUAAGAUAGGAAAAAAUAUCCUAGUGUUGCUUCUGUAUUUGCAAAGGCUGAAGAAAACCCAAUUAAAUAUGUGGGCAUAACAACUAAUCCUGAUAUUUCUUUUAUCCUAUAUUUACUGCAUAAACAGAGCGACACUAUUUUUAUGUUCACUGAUCAGUAAGAAAAAUAUAUAACGUUACAACCUUUUAAAUAAAAUAAUUAUGGAAUAGAAAGAGAUAUUAAUGGUUUUUAAAGGAUCCAAUAAAUCAUGGUCUUUCCAAGUAAUGUUUGUGAGUUGCUAAAGAUAUGAAGGAAAGAAAUGACUGAAAUUAAUUCUAAAGAUGAGUCCCCAUCAAUAUGAGAAAUAGAGCAGUAGCUCACAUUAAAUGAAAAAUCACUCAUGUAGCAUAAAGUGGAUAGAAUAAAUCAAUCUUUUACAGGAAUACAAAUAUACAAAGGAGUUGUUUAAAAACAAACAAAAAGAGCGUUAGAAGACUGGAUGCUGAUAAGGUAAGGAGUGGGCGGGGCCACAGCACCCGCGGGGCUUUGCCAACUCUCCUGGGCUCUGAGUCUCUCCAGAGGGUACACCCCUGGGCCUGUAGAGCUGCUACCCGCAACUCCCCAUCAGCAGGCAGAGAACACCCAGCACCCACCUCCUCAAGUUUGCCUUGCAGAUGCCCAUCCCCUGAGUCCUUUUAGAUUGUCCUGUACUGCAUGGGCCUGGAGAAAACAGGGGCCUACAAGGUUACAGGAUACUGAGGAAGAGCUGAGGGCACCGGGUGUGUCGCAACGGACCCAUGAAUCCUCUUAAAGAACACUUCAGAGAAUAGCACAAGAUCAAAAGCUGAUAGGACAACCACACGUCCAUUCGUUUUUAUCGAGAAAGCACGCCCAUCCUGAGUGUAUGACCCCUAACGAGUGUGUUGUCAGCAAGCUGAGAAGAAAAAAGGGUGAUGUGGUUAUUUAGGACAAUAUUAGAAGGCCAAGAAGCUGCUGUGUUUUCCAGGUUGCAAAUACGUUUACCAUGAAUUCAGCACUGAGAGCUGAGAAAAGAUGGGUAGAAAGACACACACACACAGAGAUGUUUUAUUUUACAUUUCCAAAAAGAUAAGUAAAUUUGGAGAGUUGUUACUGAGGUUUGUUUGUGCCUGCUAGUAAGGUCAGGAUCUUUUAUCUCUUUGAGGAAUCAUCAAAGGUGUAUGGGGGAACACUGUGCUGUGGGAACCUAUCACAGAGAUUGAAAACACAGUCCUUACCUCUAAGGUGUUUAAAUGCUACCUGGGAGGAUUAGCCAUGAGCACAAUAAGAAGAAUUUAUAAGCAAGACAUAGAGAGAGAGAGAGAGAGAGAGAGAGAGAGAGAGAACUAUUUUUUACUUCACAGAGACUAAGGAGAAAAACUUGCAAAUGACUCCCCCCCAAGAAAAAUAAAAAAUAAAGUAAACUGGGGGCAGCAGCUUACCUUGCAUCUGGGCUCAUGUGUUUGUUAGAUGAGUGGCUCACGGAGGGGAGAAGAGCUUGGGACGAGGGGAAGGCGGAGCCUCGGACACCUGCUCUCAAGCCAGGAGGUACCGGUCCUACCUUCUGCGUCUUGGCUCUGAUCUCUCCACCUGCCCAUACUUCUGGAUGGAAGGCUUGCCUGCCUCCAGUUUACCCCAUUCUAAUCUAGCAGGAAUAACAUGGGGGUUAAUCUGGAGAAAACAUUAGUCCAUGCUUAAAACUCUUCUGGGCCUAUUGCCUCUCUUUGAGGGAAGCGGCUGUGGGAUUUCCCCCCAAGGUGGUGGAGCAGGAAAAUGCUGUGCUCCCCUCCUCCUACACCCACAUCAAAAUUACAACUAAAUUACUGAGCAAUCAACUUGGAGAACUAUCUGAGGACUAGCUGGACUGAAUGCCUAUAACUAAGGAUAUAAAGCAGCCCCGUGGAGACUGUGGGAGUGGCUGAGACACUACCCAUGCUGGUCCCACACCACAUGUGUCGGAUUAGAAUCAGGAGAGCGAUCUCAGCUGCAGAGGGAAGGGUCUCCCCAGCCCAGAGCACCAGCUCAGUGAAGAAAAUCCCCUCAACACCUGGCUGUGACGAUCAGUGGAGAUUCCCCCCAGGUGAGCCAGAACAUGGCUGGAAACCCAGGCAUCCGCUUAAAGGGCCUGCACACAGACUCAGCCCACCCUGGACCCUCUAUAGUUCCCCACCAUCUGGCCCCAUGAUGUGAUGGGAGCACAAGAACGUAUGACCUGGAAUUAGUCACAAAACUUUGCCCAAAGACUGAUGUUACGAAGACCACUUUGAAUCAUUGAAGGUAUUGACCUGUAUCUGCUACAGUCAUUGCUGCACUGGAGGUCUGGCCUCACUGAAAUUCUCGGCUCCUUUGGUGAAGUCUUCAGGGCUUCUUUCGUUUCUGCACUUACAGAUUCAUCCUCCUAUCGCAGGUCACCUUCUGCCCGGAGGCGCUGUUGCCCUCCACGUGGCAGUAUUGUGGCUCUUUCCACAUUUCAGCUGGAGAUGUACCACAGCUUCCUGCUACUUGUGUUCCUGCCUCACAGGGAGAUGAUGGGAACUAAUGCUGUUGGGGAAAGUUUGUUUUGUUAAGAGUGUUCUGCAACCCAUUGGAAAUAUCCUAAGGGAAUUCCAAAUAAAAGAUAAUUCUUCAUCAGAUGCCUAGGUUUGACCACACAUAAUAUUUGACACAUU